GCAUGCAUAGCUCAGUUGGUUUGAGCGUGGUGCUGAUAAUGCCAAGGUUGCAGGUUCGGUCCCCGUAAAGGACAGUCUGCGUAUU